AAGGCAUGCUAACUCCCUGGCACGUACAGCCUGCUACCUGGCUUUCUGCUGCUCAGGAAAGAAAUCUCUCAGGUGUAGACAUGAAGGAGGAAGAUAGCUGGAGCUUUCUGAAGCGCCACCAUGUGAACAAUCUUGGACUGGCCACUGGAGGAUGAGAGACCAUAUGGAACAGAGAUGCUUCAUGUCAACUGAUGUCAGGUCCUAUCCAACUUGGCAGCUGACUGCAUGUAUACAAGGGAGCCCAGCCAAGAUAAAAUUGACCAGCAGAGCCCAGACCAAAUUACUGACCCACAGAACUGUGAGUUAAAUAAAUAGUUGUUGUUUUGCCA